rnacentral:rRNA from 1 species
UACGUAGGGGGCAAGCGUUGUCCGGAUUUAUUGGGCGUAAAGCGCGCGCAGGCGGUCUUUUAAGUCUGAUGUGAAAGCCCACGGCUCAACCGUGGAAGGUCACUGGAAACUGGAAGACUUGAGUGCAGAAGAGAAGAGCGGAAUCCCACGUGUAGCGGUGAAAUGCGUAGAGAUGUGGAGGAACACCAGUGGCGAAGGCGGCUCUUUGGUCUGUAACUGACGCUGAGGCGCGAAAGCGUGGGGAGCAAACAGG